rnacentral:lncRNA from 1 species
UCCUGCUUUCCUGACCCUCUCCGCCAUUUAAAGAAACAGUACCGGGGGCGGGCCGAGCGACGCAGCCGGGACGGUAGCUGCGGUGCGGACCGGAGGAGCCAUCUUGUCUCGUCGCCGGGGAGUCAGGCCCCUAAAUCGAAGAAGCCCUGGCGCGCCCUCCCCCCCUCCCGGGUCUGGUAGGGCGAAGGAACGGGCGUGCGGUCGAUCGAGCGAUCGGUUGGCGGCUCUUUCUCCUGCUCUGGCAUCCAGCUCUUGGGGCGCAGGCCCGGCCGCCGCGGCGCGCGCCCGGUGGCCGUUGGCGCUCGCGCCGCGUCUUUCUUCUCGUACGCAGAACUCGGGCGGCGGCCUAUGCGUUUGCGAUUCGACGAGGAGUCGUCCGGGUGGUCGGCGGCGGCGGGCAGCUGCUCCGCCCCGCUCCGGGGGAGGCGGCGGCGGCAGCGGCCGCGGGAUUUGGAGCGGCCGGGGAGGCGGGGGUGGCCGGGGCCGGCUUGGAGGCCUGGCGCCACCCUUCGGGGCCUGCAAGGACCCAGUUGGGGGGGCAGGAGGGGGCCGGAGGAUGGUUGGUUGUGGGAUUUCUACUUUGCCUUUUCCUCCUUAUGCCGCCUUAGUGAGGGGCGGGAGCUCUGGCGGCAGCCCCGGGGUGGGGAGACGAGCUCCGGAGUCGGAAGAGCUGGGUUUUCUUCCGGGCCUAGCCACCAGUUGGCGGAGUGACCUUAGGCGAGUCACUCUGUAAUUUGUCUGCGCCUCAGUUUCCUCCUCUGCCUAUCAAUGUGUGUGGGGUUGAAAUCGCUUUGUAAACUAUAAAGCGUGGGUGUACGUAAAGGAUGGUUAUUGUUUAUAAUUUUUUUUGAGUUGUAAGAAAACUUAGCAGUUCCCCAAUCCUUGGGUUUUGAACCUGGGAACCUUGGAUUGGAGUUGGGGAUCCCCAAACUUCCUGAAAUUGUGGGAAUGUGCGGUUUGGGGGAAUGAUGGGAAUUUGUGGGAAUGUGCGUUUUAGGGGAAUGAUGAUCCAUCGCUAGCAAGUUUUCCAAGGGGGCUGUGACCCAGAAGAGUUAAGAAUCACAAUUUCUUCAUGCUACAGAGAGGAAACUGAGGCCUAGAUGUCAUUUGGGACCCUUCACAACCAUUUUGAAGCCCUGUUUGAGUCCCUGGGAUAUGUGAGCUGUUUCUAUGCAUAAUGGAUAUUCGGGGUUAACAACAGUCCCCUGCUUGGCUUCUAUUCUGAAUCCUUUUCUUUCACCAUGGGGUGCCUGAAGGGUGGCUGAUGCAUAUGGUACAAUGGCACCCAGUGUAAAGCAGCUACAAUUAGGAGUGGAUGUGUUCUGUAGCAUCCUAUUUAAAUAAGCCUAUUUUAUCCUUUGGCCCGUCAACUCUGUUAUCUGCUGCUUGUACUGGUGCCUGUACUUUUCUGACUCUCAUUGACCAUAUUCCACGACCAUGGUUGUCAUCCAUUACUUGAUCCUACUUUACAUGUCUAGGCUGUGUGGUUGGUGGUGAAUAGGCUUCUUUUUACAUGGUGCUGCCAGCCCAGCUAAUUAAUGGUGCACGUGGACUUUUAGCAAGCGGGCUCACUGGAAGAGACUGAACCUGGCAUGGAAUUCCUGAAGAUGUUUGGGGUUUUUUUCUUUCUUAAUCGAAAGUUAACAUUGUCUGAAAAGUUUUGUUAGAACUACUGCGGAACCUCAAAAUCAGUAGAUUUGGAAGUGAUUCAAAGCUAAACUUUUUCCUUGGCCCUCCUUGUGUUCUAAUUGCUUGCAAGUGUAAUACUAGGAUGUCCAAGAUGCCAGUUUUUGCUUCUUUGUUAGUUGUCAGCUGCUUUUAUCAAAUUUCAGGCCAUUAUCCAACAAACACUAUAAAAAUGUUUGAACAAUUGGAUUUCAAACAUUUUCGUUUUGUGGAGUGGUGCUCACCAAGUGGUACAGCCCUAAGCAAGUGAACACAAACACAUUUAAGUGUAUUUUGUCUGAUUAGAUGUUAGCCAGUUAUGCUAUUUCAUUCAAAUGUCUGAAAAAAUCAAUUGACUAUUCCCUUUUCCUAAAGGGCAGAGACAGAUAAUCUCACUUCCAGAGAAAUGACUUGGAGAAAAAAAAGUGUUGGUCUUUUUGCUCUUUUGUAAUUAAAUCCGGAUGUACCUCAAAAGACUUAAGACUGUGGUGAUAAGAUGCUUUCCUCAGCAGAAAGGAGGGAAAAAAAACAACUGGAACUCAAAGCUUGAAAUUCUGUGGCAAAACAUGAGAUGUCCAGGAUUGGAGGUUGAAAAGAUUUCACUACAGUGUUCUGCAAUAGUUGGAGCAGAUAACUUUCAGUGUAGCCACAGCCAUGGACUCCAGAUUUCCAGAUUUUCAAGACCUGGACCUGGAACCCGAAAGAGCUUGUCACGAUGCGGCAGGAACACUGGAGGUAGAUUUUUUUUUAUUUUUGAAUUUUGGGACUGUUGACCUUGCUGUGAGAAAAGAGACAACGACUGAGCAAGCACUACCACCAGCACUGUUACUGGGAAUUAGAAGACCUGAGUUUCUGUCCAGACCCUCAGUGCAAACUGAGGAUGCUCCAUCCAAAGUGAAUUAUGAUAGCAGACUCCUUGAAAGCAGGGUCCUUGUUUAGUGCAUCUUUGCCCACAUACACCACAACAUAUCAAGAUGCAUUUAUUAGGAAGGAGGAGUUUAGAGAGCAGGCUAUCAGAAUAACCACUCAUCCUGUGCCUCCUGAUUGCUGAGUGUUCACCUGGACCUUCUGACUACCUUCCCUGUGCUAUUCCAUCAGCCUACAGACCUGGUACCUGGAUUUUUGCCCGAGAUGAUUCCUACCACCUUACUACUGACGAAGACACCCAUUCCAGUGGACCACUGUGACCCAGGAGGCAUUCAGCCAUCAUGAUGUGGCCUUUACCUCCACUCCUGUCUUGUUCUACCCAGAUUCAGCACAGCCCUUUAUAGUGAAGUCAGAGUCCUCAAGCCAAAUAGCUAAAGCUGUUUUAUCACAACAAAGGCCUAGUUUGUUCCAUGAGUGUGCAUUUCAUUUCUUCAGUUAAAGCCUUCAGAGACACACAAUAAAUUUGGACCAGGGGAUUUUUUAGUUAUUAAUGCUCUCUGAAGAAAGGCAACAUCUUUUUGAGAGCAGCAUUGGACCACACCCCACAAUCUCAAAUGAUUGAAAUUCAUGAACAUCUAGGAUCCCGUGAAGGUCACUGGACCCUGUUUUUUCUACUUCAAAUCCUGUAGUAGCCUACUGAAUGAGAAAACAUAUUCUGACCCAUUGGGAUCAAAUCAAAGGCACAGUGAACUCCUCAUAGCAUCUUCUUUGGAAUUACUCAGGAACCAGAACUUUUUACACAAAUGUAAGAAAUUCUACCAAGGAGUCCCCUUACCUAACAGCAUCUCACAAGGCUGCACCAGAUUCCAGAAAAGGCUUCUCUUGAUACAUCAAGCAUUUUGUGACCGACUUAUUCUUAGAUCAUUGGUUUUCCAAAGGCUUUGUGGCCAUGAAGCCCUUUGAGUGAAAACUGUGCAGAAGCCCAGAGUAAAAGUGAAGCUGCUCUGGAUGAAGUAGUGAAGCAAGAGUAGGGGCCUGAAUCCUGCUACAACUAUCUUCCUUUACCACCGUGGUGACACCUAAGGGGACUUCCUUACAACACCUUGAACUCUUCCGAACACAGUUUGAAAACCACUGCCCCAGACAGCAAUAUGUUUGACCUGAAUGGCAUUCCAAUCUUUUCUGUACCUCCACUCAGCACAGUUCAUGUUCAGUAGAUGCUGAACAUUCUUAGAAAUACUGUGUGUGAACUUAGAAAAGUGCAAGAAGACAGGCAUGUCUUUGACCCCAGGAAUGAUCAUUUGCUGAAGAUGGUGUCAAGUGAACCUAGAUUAACAGCCCUCCACUCCAGAUGGAUAUCCAGUGAUUCCUAGAAUGGGAUAUAGCCAGAGAACAAUUCUAUGCACCCUACACUGACAGACUCCCUUAAGCAACACCAGAUGCUCUACUGGUACUUGAAGUACAUGACUUUGAAGUCUUGACCCUCCAUGAAUACCUGAAUUAUCAGCAAGCGGGUUUUGAAGCUGGUGCCUCAUUGAGGCCAUAUUAGAGCAACUUGUACAUUUGACCUCUUGUUAUCAGCCAUGGUACUCUACUUCGUGUGCAAGAGAUAACUAUGAAAGCCAAAUUCAAAUACUGGCAACAUUUCCUAAAGGGGCUCAAUAUCUAUCAUUCGUCUUCUUUUCCAAACUACACAUCACUGUAUGACUCAACCAGUAGCAGUUAUAUUGCCCCUUGGUUUUUAUUCAGUUUAACUACUGUUUCCAAGAUAAAUGAGCUAAUAAGCUUUAAAAAAAAAAAAAAAAAAGGCUGAAUUCUUUUUUCUUCAUCACUGGCAUAUCUGCCUAUUCUCCAGAAUUAUUAUGACUAUUCAGCUCACUUUAACAGUUGAACUUCAAGCGACAAUCUUUGAACACCCCUUCUCAUGUGAUUUAAAAUGAAACCAUUUGGAAAAGUUUCUUCUAGCCAGUAAUAGAUUUUUUUUUUAAUUGCUCUGCCUUGUGCCGAGAGAUGUUCUUUUAAGAUGAAUCUUUUGAUGUCUGAUACCACCAAAUAUAGGUGGUAGGGAGAGUUGGAGGCUGGCCCUUUGAGCAGGCCAUUAGCUUACUUGCUGGGCAUUUCCGAUAGCUUAUUGCCUACCUUUUUGCUGGAAACAAACUGAUUUGAAAAACAAAAUCUAUGAAGACUGCAGCUAAGGAUUUUAUCGGUAGACUUAAGAGCUUUUGUCCUUGUGGAUAUUUUAGUGGAACCACAUCAGUCUCAAUACUGUCAUUUUACACUGACUCAGAGCAGCUGACUUCAUUCCUUGCCAUGAUAUAUAUUUAAGGCAGGCAUUGUAACAGACAUAAAGACAACUUAUCUGUUUCAGCAGGAAGGAUUCAGUUUAUGAACUCUCAGACCAGAUCAUGUUGAACAAGGAGACUUUGAUGUGUGUCAUGAGAAAACUCAUUCUUUACUUCCCAGUCAAUUUAAAGGCCAGCUAUCCUGAGCUACUCGAAUGAAUGCACUGGUUAAACAUUGGAAAUAGUUUGUUUAUAUCCUUGUCUCUCUCUAGGCCAAUUGUGAUUACAUGACUCGACUCUACAUCUCGUCAAACAAGGCCUAGGUCUGGUUGCUGUAGACUGCUCGCCCUCAACAAAUAAAAUCUGGUUGACUAGCCUCCUUGUAUAUACAACUAUUAUUUGUUAAGAAGAAAUUAUCGUCAAUUUUCUACUACCUUCCAAUUGUCAGCUCUUUUUUUCCUCUCUGGUUUUUCCUAUACUUUACAGAAAAAGACAUUGAUCUAUACUGCCAUUCCCUCUAAUCCUGCCAUACUCAGUCAAAAGGAAUGACUUAAGAUGAAGAUGAUCAUCUGCUCGAGUCUAAAAUAUACAUUGUAUAUAAGAAUUGGUGAUUAGAAAAGCAAAAAACCUAAAACUUAAAUCUAGGAGUCUGUAUACUGUCUCCAUGUCUCCAUGCCUCAGAUCUCAUCUAAAUCUUUGAACAGCACCAUUCAACCAAUCUGAGGCCUUGACUUGCUUGUAAGAUGAUUCUCAGAGAUCGGCUGAGUUAAAAAAGAUGACGACUUGAUUACCAAAGAAAGUAGGGCCAACUUUGACAAAUCUGGCUCUGCUGACCCUGUCACUCCCAGAUGUAGCAUAGACUCCUAAACAGAACCUCAAGUCUGAUUGAGGAUAAGGCCUUCUCCUGAGCUGAAAGUUCUUUGGCAGAUGAGCAAGAAACUGAAAGCUGAUGUACCUGACUGGCUCUGUAAGAUCAGAAAACUGUAUCCAGAAUAAGCCCUAUGGAUUAACCCCUGAGUACCCAGAGUAAAAACUAAUUUACAGAACUUCCUUAUUGAUCUGCUGGUUCUUCCAGAUCAUAUUCUGGCUAUUGGUAUGGCUGGCCUUUCUGAAGGUACCCUGCUUGUCUAUUUUCCUGACUCAGCUCUUGCCUGCCUUUUUCACAUGUUGCUGCAAUUAGACUCACCGUGAGGACUACAGUCAAUUUCAGUCUAUCUUGUGCCCAAUACAACAAGGAUUUUUAAUAGUAACAACCCACACCUCACCCACUAGGACUCAAUGUUCACAACAGGAAGGACCAUUGCUGCAUACUCCUUGACCAGCAACUUUUUUGAAGAUAUUUUUAAGUGCAGAGUAGGCCUCUAUUCCUGUAUGUAAUUGUUCAUUUUCAGCACCUGGAACCUCAUCUAUCGGGUCUGGAAGGAAUACAGCAGUUCGAAAGCCGCGUCCAUUUCUCUCCUUCAGUAGUGCAGAAAUGAGUCCGAUUCACCAGUACACACAGAACUGUACCAGUUCAACCUAGCAAAAGAAGAAAAGUUUCCACUGUACUUAAAAUUUACAGCUGACUCAAAUUGCCUCACAGAAUUAUUUGAUGUAGAAGGCUAGUUGUCUUACUUCAGAUCAGCAGGACAGUUGGGCUCUCAGACUCAUGACCACUGAGUUUGCUUGUGUUGAAACUGUGGUUUCAUCCAACAUAUGCUAUUGGACAUGAUUAUUAUUCCAUUCAAAUGGAUUACAGACUUCUUGAGGACAGGACAAACUUAUCUCUCAUGGUGUUUUUUUAGAAUACUUUUAUAACCAAGGAAGAAACCAUGCCAGCUGUUACCAUUCAACUUCUUAAGCAGAGAUUAAGCUUUUUCAUAUCUGUUCUUAUCCUGGACAUCAGUAGUUUUUAAUUGCCCAGCAUCCGUUCCAUCUUGUAACAACUCCCUGAUGUUUCUUAAAACCACCUCUUCCUAUUUUCAGUCUGUGGUUUGGACAGUCUGACCCAACCUUGAGCUUUGUGGGUGAACAUGUAAUUCAGACCUCAUCAAUCAGCAAAUCCAUCUGAACUGUGGAGGAGAAGCUCUCUUUACUGAGGGUGCUUUAGCUUUGUAGGAUGAAAACCUCAAACUAACAGGGCCUACCAUGUAGAGAAUGAAGCCAGUGCAGGGGAAAGCAGAGCCAAAAUAUGGAGAGACUUGAAUCCUGAUGACAGCGUUUGUGCCCCUGGAUCCAACCGUGCCUGAAGCUAGAAUAUCCCCUGGACUUUUCAGUUAUGUGAACCAAUAAAUACCCUUUUUUGCUUAAGUUACUUUGAGUUGGGUUUCUGUUACUUGAAAUUGAAUCCACACUAAUAUAUCUACCAACAUUGAGACUUGACAGAUCCAAGUAUUUAUUAAGCUAGAGGUCAUGGUCACUGAAAUUACUUUCCAAAGUGGAAGACAAAAUGAAACAGGAACUGAGGGAAUAUUUAAGAUCCCACAGAAGCGUAAAAAUGACAUGGUAGAAAGUAAUAGAAAACCUAAAUGUCUGUCAUUAAAGGAUAGGUUAAGGUGUGGUUCAGCCAUAUAGGAAUAUCUCGUAUCUGUUAAAAUGAAUAAAGUACAUUCAUUGUGUAUGGAAAAAUGGCCAUGAUACAUUAGGUGAAACAAGUUAUUAAUAGAAAAGUGUACAGUGUGAACUCAUUUUAAAAUGUGUGUGCUUAUGUUUAUAAAUGCAUAGAAAGGUCUAUUCACAGCUUUCUUUGAACAGUGUAGAUCACAUGAAACUUUCAACUUUAUACAUUUCUGUAUUAAUAUUUUACACUACCCACAUUAUUUUUAAACUUUAUUUUAAAUAAAGAAUUUUUAAAAUUAAA